UACGGGGGGGGCAAGCGUUGUUCGGAAUUACUGGGCGUAAAGGGCUCGUAGGUGGCCAACUAAGUCGGACGUGAAAUCCCUCGGCUUAACCGGGGAACUGCGUCCGAUACUGGUUGGCUUGAGUUUGGGAGAGGGAUGCGGAAUUCCAGGUGUAGCGGUGAAAUGCGCAGAUAUCAGGAGGAACACCAAUGGCGAAGGCAGCUCGCUGGGACGUGACUGACGCUGAGACGCGAAAGCGUGGGGAGCAAACAGG
rnacentral:rRNA from 1 species